GCCCCUCAGGGUCUCCAUCACCCAACUCCAUGCUUCGAGUCCUGCUCUCUGCUCAGACCUCCCCUGCUCGGCUGUCUGGCCUGCUGCUGAUCCCUCCAGUACAGCCCUGCUGUUUGGGGCCCAGCAAAUGGGGGGACCGGCCUGUUGGAGGAGGCCCCAGUGCAGGUCCUGUGCAAGGACUGCAGCGGCUUCUGGAACAGGCGAAGAGCCCUGGGGAGCUGCUGCGCUGGCUGGGCCAGAACCCCAGCAAGGUGCGCGCCCACCACUACUCGGUGGCGCUUCGUCGUCUGGGCCAGCUCUUGGGGUCUCGGCCACGGCCCCCUCCUGUGGAGCAGGUCACACUGCAGGACUUGAGUCAGCUCAUCAUCCGAAACUGCCCCUCCUUUGACAUUCACACCAUCCACGUGUGUCUGCACCUUGCAGUCUUACUUGGUGGUACAGAAGUUGGUCCUGCCCUUUGGGCGACUGAACUACCUGCCCCUGGAACAGCAGUUUAUGCCCUGCCUUGAGAGGAUCCUGGCUCGGGAAGCAGGGGUGGCACCCCUGGCUACAGUCAACAUCUUGAUGUCACUGUGCCAACUGCGGUGCCUGCCCUUCAGAGCCCUGCACUUUGUUUUUUCCCCUGGCUUCAUCAACUACAUCAGUGGUACGCAGCCAGGAUGGCUGGCUGGGCCCGAGGGCUGGAGAGGCAGGGGAGCAGGGUGGCCUGCAGCCCAGAGCCCCAGUCCCCGCCUCCCCACAGGCACCCCUCAUGCUCUGAUUGUGCGUCGCUACCUCUCCCUGCUGGACACGGCCGUGGAGCUGGAGCUCCCAGGAUACCGGGG
rnacentral:sRNA from 1 species